rnacentral:rRNA from 1 species
ACAAUAGGCCGUCAGUGGGACAUCAUAGAGGGUGACAAUCCCGUCCUUGACGCUAAUGUGCAAGUCUAUUACGAUGGCUAUCUCAGAGAGUCGAGCAGUUUGGGAUUUGCUGCUUAAACAUGGGAGGUAGAUUCCUUCUAAAGCUAAAUACAGGCGAGAGACCGAUAGAGAACAAGUACCGCAAGGGAAAGAUGAAAUAGCACUCUGUGAAGGGAGUCAAAAGGCGUGAAAUUGUUGCGAGAGAAGCGAUUCAAGUCAGCGUAGCUAGGCCCAUCAAGCGUCUUCGCUUUGGACUAGCUUUGCCAGCGGUCUUGUCCCUURAAGAGACUUGACUUGUAAUAUGUCCAGCCUGGCGUGCACAGGCAGCCCCUUCUGGGGGCCAGUGGCAUGGCUGGUGGAAUGGCUUGCAAUCGACCCGUCUUGAAACACGGACCAAGGAGUCUAACAUGUAUGCGAGUAUAAGGGUGGCAAACCCGUAUGCGCAAUGAAAGUGAUUUUCGGUGAUUGAGAAUGGCCUGAUGACCAGACAAGCAAUACAUGUCCCUCGUACGGCCAUUGCCCAAGUUCCGUGGUAGAUCCCACGAACAUGGAGUUGGAGCAUACAUGCUAGGACCCGAAAGAUGGUGAACUAUGCCUGGACAAAGCGAAGCCAAAGGAAACUCUGGUGGAGGCUUGUAGCGAUUCUGACGUGCAAAUCGAUCGUCUGAUCUGGGUAUA